rnacentral:lncRNA from 1 species
GGGGAAGGGUCGGCUGAUUGCUGCCAGAAAUGGAGAGCUCGUUUUAAGGAAAUGCGGCGUCUCCUGGGAGUGAAGAGGCUUUUGGGCCACCUUGAGGCAUGACGGGUGCCGCUUCGUUUCCCUGCGACCGCUGCCUGUUUCGACUGAGCCCCUCACAGGAGGACGUGGCGGGGGCAGACGGGCGCAGCCUCCCGCCCUCUCCGUGACUCAGGGAAACGGCCUCGCCGCAGAGCGCUCCCUCGGCAGCUGGCUGCAGCACUCCUCCCCCGCCGGGCUUCAGAGUGGGUGGUUUCCUACAGCCUAGGGAGGGGGCCUGAAACGGGGUUUAAAAUCUUCCCUGCCCUCACACAAGCCCUUCUGACUGUUGGAGAACCUGACGCGCGGAUUCUAACUAGAACUGGCACUCUCUUCGGGUGUUAGAUAAUUAACUCAAAGGACAGCGAAGGCCUUUUAUGAUGUCUUUCAAGCUGGCCUUAUGACAGCUUUUCUUAACGUUUCUGCGGACAUUUUGGCGGACUUGUGUCGGCCUAGCUCAGUGAUCAGUUUCGUUAAAGAAUUUGAGUAUCCGAACAUUAAAGGAUUGGACCUAAAUUCUAGCAGGAGGAUUUUUAGCCACAUCAAAUAAUUUACGUCUCAAAGAUUUAGAUAAUUAGGGUAAGGAUGCUUAGUAAAACCCGAAGGUUCCAUCGCGCCACUGCACUCCAACCUGGGCGACAGAGCGAGACUCCGUCUCAAAAAAAAAACAAACAAAAAAAAACCUGAAGGUUCCUGGAGGAAAGAGAUGAACUAUUAGCCGUGUAUUUCGGUGGGACCACCUCAACAUAGGUUCCUGUAGGUUAGCAAUGUAGAAAUGUAGCGCUUCAAAGCCGGAGCAUCCUGUCUUCAAAGAGCAUGAAGGUAUCAACGGCAUUCAUUGUCGAUUAAUAAUAACCUUUCUGGUACUUUCUUGCUAAAGUAUAAGCCAUAAUAAUAUUUCAUAAUCGCACCAAUACAAUAAAGGAUGAAAGA